GACGAACGCUGGCGGCGUGCUUAACACAUGCAAGUCGAACGGAAAGGCCCUGCUUCUGUCGGGUGCUCGAGUGGCGAACGGGUGAGUAACUAGUGAGUAACCUGCCUGUGAUUUUGGGAUAACUUCAGGAAACUGGGGCUAAUUACUGCUAGGUGCUCCGGCUGCAUGGUGGGGGUUGGGAGGUUUCGGCGGUUGGGGGUGGUCUCGCGGCUUACCAGCUUUUUGGUGGGGUAUUGGCUUACCAAGGUCUUGGCGGGUAGCGGGCCUGCGGGGGUGGCCGGCCACAUUGGGGGUGAGGUACGGUGCAGACGCCUGCGGGAGGCAGCAGUGGGGAAUGUUGGACAGUGGGCGGAAGCCUGGCGCAGCAACGCCGCGUGCGGGAUGACGGCCUUCGGGUUGUAGCCCGCUUUCGCCUGUGACGAAGCGUGAGUGGAGGGAAUGGGUAGAGAAGCACCGGCUAACUACGUG
rnacentral:rRNA from 1 species